AGACAGCAGUAGCCGCGGUAAUACGAAGGGUGCAAGCGUUAAUCGGAAUUACUGGGCGUAAAGCGUGCGUAGGCGGUGAGUUAAGUCUGCUGUGAAAUCCCCGGGCUCAACCUGGGAAUGGCAGUGGAUACUGGCUCGCUAGAGUGUGUCAGAGGAUGGUGGAAUUCCCGGUGUAGCGGUGAAAUGCGUAGAGAUCGGGAGGAACAUCAGUGGCGAAGGCGGCCAUCUGGGACAACACUGACGCUGAGGCACGAAAGCGUGGGGAGCAAACAGGAUUAGAUACCCCGGUAGUCCCUGUCUCUUAUAA
rnacentral:rRNA from 1 species